UACGUAGGGUGCGAGCGUUGCCCGGAUUUAUUGGGCGUAAAGGGCGCGUAGGUGGCUCGGCACGUCCGUUGUGAAAUCGCUCGGCUCAACUGGGCGAGGUCAGCGGAUACGGUCGAGCUUGAGCCAGCUAGGGGGCAAUGGAAUUCCCGGUGUAGUGGUGGAAUGCGUAGAUAUCGGGAGGAACACCAGUGGCGAAGGCGGUUGCCUGGGGCUGUGCUGACGCUGAGACGCGAAAGCGUGGGGAGCGAACAGG
rnacentral:rRNA from 1 species